rnacentral:tRNA from 1 species
UUAAUUCAAAUUAAAUUAAAUAUUUUAUUUACAAUAAAAUAAAAGUUAUUAAUUUAACUUAAUUUGAUAAA